GGUUUUUUGUUGCUGUUAGUUUGUUGUCAUAGGAUAGCUUCCAUAUAUGUGUUUUCAAAUAAAUAUUUAUUUCUGGAUUCACUGUCCAGAUUGAGCAAGUAUAGACCUAAUUUUAUCUGAGCUGUCUCCUCUGUGCAUAAAAUUCAUAUUUUAAUUUUUAAGGCAUUUCCAAAACGCCUUGGAAACUGCUCACCAGUCACAAGAAUGCACAGAUUCUCAGAUGGGAAGUUUUGUCAGUGGUUUGAUAGUACGAAAGUUUGGGCCAAACGGUCAGAUUUCUAGUCUGGAAUUAGACCUGAGGCUUAGGAAAACCUUGAAAGGAUCCAUUCAGAAUUUCGGAAGGAGGAUUUCAAGAUGUGGCUCUUCUAAGAACUCCCAUUUCUUACACUUCAAAAUAUUUUUAAUGUUUUAAAACAGAUUUUGAUAGUACUAGUUCU
rnacentral:lncRNA from 1 species